UACAAUGUUCUGGUCAUGGAUUUGCUAGGACCCAGUCUUGAAGAUUUAUUUAAUUUUUGCAGCAGGAAGCUUUCCCUGAAGACAGUUUUAAUGCUUGCAGAUCAAAUGGUUAAUCUUUCGUUUAAAUCUAUAAAUUUAGCAUUUGUAAACCUUCCUAAAAUAUGUUGGUUAUAUGGCUAUUCUGGUACUGCAGAUAAAUUUUGCAUUUGUAAACCUUCUUACGAUAUGUUGGUUAUAUGGUUAUUCUGGUACUGCAGAUAAACCGCGUUGAAUUUGUUCAUUCCAAAUCAUUUUUGCAUCGAGAUAUCAAGCCAGACAAUUUUCUUAUGGGCUUGGGAAGACGUGCAAAUCAG
rnacentral:lncRNA from 1 species